CACGUAGGCACCAAGCGUUGUCCGGAUUUAUUGGGCGUAAAGAGCUCGUAGGCGGUUCAGUAAGUCAGGUGUGAAAUCUUUGGGCUUAACCCAAAGCGUGCACUUGAUACUGCUGUGACUUGAGUUCGGUAGGGGAGUGGGGAAUUCCUAGUGUAGCGGUGAAAUGCGCAGAUAUUAGGAGGAACACCGGUGGCGAAGGCGCCACUCUGGGCCGAAACUGACGCUGAGGAGCGAAAGCGUGGGGAGCGAACAGG
rnacentral:rRNA from 1 species